GUAAGCGGAUGCGCUCGGCCUCAAGGACAGGGUGCUCGGCUGAAAAAAAAGCUAGCGGCGAUCACCGGUGCCAGGGCCCUCCAGAAACAGAGCCCAUCUAACCAAUGCCCAGCACACUCGCUCUGCUCCACACACGAGACCACCUCCGACCCGCACUAAGUUGGCCAACUGCACUCUGGAGGCGGCGGCAGCCAGCGAGGGAGAAGGGGAAGGCUGUCCCGGGACCCCGAGGAGGACUGCCCCGCUACCGGGAACCGGGUGCGGCAUAAAACAACCCCGGCUCCGGGCCGACCCUUCCUGGCCCCUGGAGGCCCAGGCGGGGCGGCGGGGGGCGACGCGGCAGGGGUCUCCGCGCCCAGGCUCCCGCGGAGCGGCCACACGUGGAGGUUCCCACUUUGGGGUCGCGGCCGCAGCAGCACCGGGCGGGAUGCUAUCCGCGCUGCCCGCGUACGGCCGCGGCCUGAGUGGAGACGCCUGCCCCCAGCCCCGCGGCCUCGGCCCCCGUCCGCCCUCCCUCCCUGCUCGGCGGCCUCGUACUCACGCUGACUUCAUGGCAGCAGGCUCCACGCCGCCCAAACGCGCGUGCGGGACGGCUGGGUGGCAAAGACUGCGGGACGUUAGGACCGGCAGCAAGAACGAGAACUCCGCGGCUAAGGCGCGGUGCUCUGCGAAGCCGGCGGCGACGCUAAGAGCCCAGGUGAGCUCCCGCCUGGCGCAUUUCAAACGGGCCAAUCAGCGCCCGUCCGCAGGGAGAGGCAGGACCUCCGCGGAAGUGACUGCGCUGCCGGAAGUGGCGCUUGUCUCCUAGGCGACCGACGCUGAAAGGGCCGCGGAGUCGCGUGUCAGGGCUGGAGGGAGAUCUUGAGGUCCUCCCAGUGACUGACCUGGCUCAUUCUCCGAAAGUGGUUGACAGGCCACUACGAGAGCUCUUGAGAGAAGCUUUGUGACAUGAAAUUCAUCAAAUGAAGCAAGAUUCAUUUUUAAAGAAUAAUACAAAGCUCCAGAGUAAUAUGCUUAAUCCAAAUGUUUAAAUAGAAUUUAAAACCACAUUUUAAGUAAAUUUAAAAUUAAUGAACUAUCAA